AUGGACAUGGACGGUCCCGACGGCUGGGUCUGGGUGCGCCGGCCGGCGGAGGAGGAAGCGUGGCAGCCAUGGACGUCCGAGGAGCGGCCGCUCAAGGUGGUGUUCUCGUCGCCGGCCGAGUACUUCACGGACGCGGCGCCCAUCGGCAACGGCAGCCUCGGCGCCAUGGUUUGGGGCGGGGUCUCCUCCGACAAGCUCCAGCUUAACCAUGAUACGCUAUGGACCGGCGUGCCAGGGAACUACACUGACCCAAAGGGGCCGGGUGUUCUUGCCGAGGUGAGGCAAUUGGUCGACCAAGGAAGGUUCGCAGACGCCACGGCUUCAGCCAAGGGCCUUUUCGGUGGACAGUCCGAGGUAUACCAACCUCUUGGUGACUUAAACAUCGAGUUCAGCACCUCGGAUGGGGUGUAUGAUUCUUACAAAAGAGAGCUUGAUCUACAUACGGCGACUGCUCUGGUCACAUACAACAUCGGGGGAGUGCAGUACACUAGGGAGCACUUCUGCUCGAAUCCACAUCAAGUCAUCGUCACCAGGUUCUCAGCAAGCACACCAGGCCAUGUCUCCUGCACACUGUCCUUAAGCAGUCAGUUAAGCCACAGCGUCACUGUAACCAAUGAAAACGAGAUGAUCAUGGAAGGUAUAUGUCCAGGUCAGAGGCCUGCGAUGAGAGAAAACGGCGGCGAUAAUGCAACUGGCAUUAAGUUUACAGCUGCUCUGGGAUUGCAGAUGGGUGGGAGCGCGGCAAAAGUUACAGUGCAGAAUGACCAAAAGUUGAAGCUUGACAGUGCAGAUUGGGUUGUUUUCAUAGUUGCCGCUGCAUCCUCUUUUGAUGGGCCACUUGUUAAUCCUGCAGACUCUAAACUAGACCCCACAUCUCUAGCUCUCAGUACACUGAAUAACAGCAGGAACUUCACAUUUGAUCAACUUAAAGCAGCCCAUUUGGAUGAUUAUCAGAGCCUUUUUAACCGCGUGACCUUGCAACUUUCACGAGGAUUGAACGACGCAUGCUCUUUGGUGACUCGGAAAGAUAGACCAGAACAAGUUUCUGAAGACAUCAGGGCAUCAGCGGAUAGGGUGAAAAGUUUUAGUAGUGAUGAGGAUCCUUCUCUGGUUGAACUCUUAUUUCAGUAUGGUCGCUAUCUCCUCAUUUCCUGUUCUCGGCCUGGAACUCAGGUUUCUAAUCUGCAAGGAAUCUGGAGCCAAGAUAUUGCACCUGAGUGGGAUGCAGCUCCUCAUCUGAACAUAAAUCUACAGAUGAAUUACUGGCCAGCACUUCCUUGCAACCUUAGAGAAUGCCAAGAACCAUUAUUUGAUUUCCUGGGAUCACUUGCGGUUAACGGGACUGAAACAGCAAAAGUCAAUUACCAAGCAGGUGGAUGGGUAACACAUCAUGUGUCGGAUAUAUGGGCAAAAUCGUCGGCGUUCCUUAAGAAUCCAAAGCAUGCUGUGUGGCCUAUGGGUGGAGCCUGGCUUUGCACACACCUAUGGGAGCACUACCAGUUUUCAAUGGACAAAGACUUUUUGGAAAACACGGCAUAUCCAUUGCUGGAAGGCUGUGCCAACUUUCUGGUUGACUGGCUGAUUGAAGGACCUGGAGGUUAUCUGGAAACCAAUCCUUCAACUUCUCCGGAGCAUGCUUUCGUAGCUCCUGAUGGUAAGCCCGCAAGCGUGAGUUUCUCGACAACGAUGGACAUCUCAAUCAUCCGGGAGGUUUUCCUUGCAGUCCUUGAAUCUGCGGAGCUUCUCGGAAAAUCUGAUAUUGAUUUGGUUGAGAGAAUCAAGAAAGCGCUCCCAAGACUUCCUCCCAUACAAAUUGCAAGAGAUCGUACCGUGAUGGAAUGGGCACUGGAUUUUAAGGACCCAGAAGUCCAACAUAGGCACCUGUCGCAUCUCUUUGGACUUUACCCUGGACAUACUAUAGCCAUGGAUAAUGACCCUGAUGUUUGUGAAGCUGUUGCCAAUAGCCUUUAUAAAAGAGGUGAAGAUGGCCCCGGAUGGUCAACUACAUGGAAAAUGGCCUUGUGGGCGCGUCUUCUGAACAGUGAAAAUGCAUACAGGAUGGUUCUAAAGCUGAUCACCCUGGUUCCUCCUGGUGGUAAGGUUGAGUUUGAAGGAGGACUGUAUACCAAUCUGUGGACAGCACACCCACCAUUCCAAAUCGACGCAAACUUCGGAUUUGCAGCUGCCAUUGCCGAGAUGUUGAUCCAGAGCACACAGAGUGACCUCUACUUGCUCCCCGCUCUGCCGCGAGACAAGUGGCCCAUGGGCAGUGUCAAAGGGCUGAAGGCCCGCGGUGAUGUGACCGUCGACAUCCGCUGGAAGGAAGGGGAGCUCCAUGAAGCACUGCUAUGGUCGUCAAAUAAUCAAAAUUUAGUCGCAAGGCUGCAUUACGGCAAAGAGGUUGCCGCCGUGACGCUUCGCCAUGGUAUCGUUUACAAGUUUGGUAGCGGAUUGCGAUGUCUGGAAACAUGGCCACUCUCCAGAUGA
rnacentral:rRNA from 1 species